GACGAACGCUGGCGGCGUGCUUAACACAUGCAAGUCGAACGGAAAGGCCCUGCUUUUGUGGGGUGCUCGAGUGGCGAACGGGUGAGUAACACGUGAGUAACCUGCCCUUGACUUUGGGAUAACUUCAGGAAACUGGGGCUAAUACCGGAUAGGAGCUCCUGCUGCAUGGUGGGGGUUGGAAAGUUUCGGCGGUUGGGGAUGGACUCGCGGCUUAUCAGCUUGUUGGUGGGGUAGUGGCUUACCAAGGCUUUGACGGGUAGCCGGCCUGAGAGGGUGACCGGCCACAUUGGGACUGAGAUACGGCCCAGACUCCUACGGGAGACAGCAGUGGGGAAUAUUGCACAAUGGGCGGAAGCCUGAUGCAGCAACGCCGCGUGCGGGAUGACGGCCUUCGGGUUGUAAACCGCUUUCGCCUGUGACGAAGCGUGAGUGACGGUAAUGGGUAAAGAAGCACCGACUAACUACGUG
rnacentral:rRNA from 1 species